ACCCGUUGAUCCUGCGGGAGAUUGCUGCUAUUGGAAUCCGACUAAAACAUGCAAGUCAGGUAGCAAUACCGGCGAAAGGCUCAGUAACACGUCGAUAAUCUAACCUCGGGUUGAGGAUAACCUCGGAAAACUGAGGGUAAUACUCAAUAGGGGAUUGAUACUGGAAGGUUCUUUCCUUAAAAUUCGUGCCCAAGGAUGAGUCGGCGGCUGAUUAGGCUGUUGGUGGGGUAAUGGCCCACCAAACCGAAGAUCAGUACGGGCCAUGAGAGUGGUAGCCCGGAGAGGGACACUGAGAUACUGGUCCCAGCCCUACGGGGUGCAGCAGUUGCGAAACCUUUACAAUGCACGAAAGUGUGAUAAGGGGAUUCCGAGUGCUUAUGCUUUGCAUAGGCUUUUGUCGAGACUAAGGACCUCGGCGAAUAAGUGGUGGGUAAGACUGGUGCCAGCCGCCGCGGUAACACCAGCGCCACGAGUGGCGAUCACGUUUAUUGGGUCUAAAGCGUCCGUAGCCGGUUCAAUAAAUCCUUUGUGAAAUCGUUGGGCUUAACCUAACGGCAUGCAGGGGACACUGCUGAACUAGGGACCGGGAGAGGUGUGAAGUAUGGAAUGGGGACCGGUAAAAUGGUAUAAUCCAUUUCAGACUACCAAUGGCGAAGGCAUCACACCAGAACGGAUCUGACGGUGAGGGUCGAAAGCUAGGGGAGCGAACCGGAUUAGAUACCCGAGUAGUCCUAGCCGUAAACGCUGUGAGCAAGGUGUUGCAUAUUCCUCGGGAAUAUGCAGUGUCGAAACGAAGGUAUUAAGCUCACCACCUGGGAAGUACGGUCGCAAGACUGAAACUUUAAGGAAUUGGCGGGGGAGCACCACAAGGGGUGCGGCGUGCGGUUUAAUCUAACUCAACGCAGAGAACCUUACUAGAGGCGAUGGCAGGAUGAAGGUCAUGUUGAAGACAUUACCUAACAGGCCAAGAGGUGGUGCAUGGCCGUCGUCAGCUCGUGCUGUGAAGUGUCCUCUUAAGUGAGGCAACGAGCGAGACCUGCAUCUACAAUUGCUAACAGCCCUAUUGGGAACUGAGCACAUUGUAGAGACUGCCUGUGAAAACAGGAGGAAGGUGCAGGCUACGGUGGUCUGUAUGCCCCGAAUCCUCUAGGCUACACGCGCGCAACAAUGGUAGAGACAAUGGGAUGCAACUCUGAAAAGAGAAGCUAAUCCUCUAAACUCUGCCUUAGUAUAGAUUGAGGGUUGCAACUUACCCUCAUGACAAUGGAAUCCCUAGUAAUCGGAGUUCAUCAUACUCUGGUGAAUAUGUCCCUGCUCCUUGCACACACCGCCCGUCAAACCAACCGAGCAGGGUCUAAGUAAACCUUACUUUUUUGAGUAUUGUGAACUUAGGCUCAGUGAGGUGGGUUAAGUCGUCACAAGGUA
rnacentral:rRNA from 1 species